ensembl:lncRNA
AUGGAUCCAACUGAAAACCCAGGGAACCGCAUUGGUCGCACUAUUUGGACUGUUUGGGGUUAUCUGUCAGGGGCUGUUGCAAGAUUUCUCAGACCGGAAGUCACAGAUGAAGGAAACCAAGGUGUUCGUACCAGAACAGAUGAUAUUGACUUGAAAAGUGCAGUUAACAAGAUUGACAGAGAAGUAACGGCAAAAAAUAGCAACAAUGAAGGGAAGGAAACAAAUCAAAUUGACAGUGCAGAGGUCAAGUGUUCCCCAUCUAAAGUCAGAGUGCAAGUGGCUUCUGUACAGUGGGAAAACACUGAUGUGGUCAAGGAUGACAAUAAUGAUGAACUUCAUGUUCACACCACAAAAAAACAAACUUACCAUUGUGCAGUGUGGUCCCCUGGGACUGAUACAGACAACGAAGGAUGCAUGGUUGACGCACUUGUUGAGAAAGAAGCAGUCUCAUCUGAUGAGGUUCAGGCUGAAAAUAUAUAUGCGAACAAUGAGUUUAAGGAGAGUGAAACUGCACACGAGUUGGAAGAAACUGGAAAGAUUGAACAAAAAUAUGGUGACAAUGAAGAUAUAGAAGAACGUGAUCAGAAUCAUAAGGGUGAAAAGUGUGCAAAGAAUAGAAAAGAUGCAUAUGAGACAGACGUAAUGGUCCAAUUUGAUCAAGAUGUAGAACAGGAAAAGCAGAUAAACAUGGCGGACCAUGGAGAGACAGAAGGCAUUGCAGGUUUUAAACAUGCAGAUACACAUCUUAUUGAUGAACAAAUUGUUGACCAGAAGGAUCGAGGGGGAAUUGCUUACGUCUCUAAAAACGAGGUUGAGGAGAUGAUGCCUGAAACUAGAGGUGCGACUGAGCAGGAUAAGGAGAAGAAAACUGUACAGGACUUGGAAGAAAUUUGGCAGCUUGAACGAAACGAUGGUGACAAUGAAGAUAAAGAAGAAUGUGAUCAGAAUCAUGAGGAAGAAAAGUGUGCAGUGGAGAGUGAAGAUUUGGAUAAUGCAGACGUAAAGGUCCAAUCUGAGCUUUAUGGACAAGAUGUAGAACAUGAAAUGAAGAUAAGCAUGAUGGACCAUGCAGAGAAAGAAGGUAUUGGAGGUUUUAAACAUUCAGAUGAACAUCCAAUUGAUGAAAAGGAGAACAAUUUAGACCAGAAGGAUCAGGAGAAAACUGAGAAUGAUGAAGAACAAGGACUUGAAUCACAAGUUCAAGAUCUGCAGAAGAGUGAAGAUCCAGAUAAUGCAAAUGUAAUGGUCCAAUGUGAGCAAGAUGUAGAACAAGAAAAGAAGAUAAAUAUAGUGGACCAUGGAGAGACAGAAAGAAUUGCAGGUUUUAAACAUGCAGAUGAACACCUUAUUGAAGAAAAGGAGAACAAUUUAAACCAGAAGGAUCAGGAGAAAACUGAGAAUGAUGAAGAAAAAGGACUUGAAUCACAAGUUCAAGAUUUGCAGAAGAGUAAAGAUCCAGAUAACGCAGACAUAUUGGUCCAAUGUGAGCUUUAUGGACAAGAUGUAGAACAAGACAAACUGAUAAGAAUGAUGGAUCAUGCAGAGAAAGAAGGAAUUGGAGGUUUUAAACAUUCAGAUGAACAUCUUAUUGAUGAAAUAGAGGAACAAAUUGUUGACCAGAAGGAUCAGGGGAGAACUGAGAAUGAUGAAGACCAAGGAACUGAAUCACAAGUGCAAGAUUUGCUGCCACAGCUGGAAUAUUUAAAAAAAUAUUCUGAUGAAAUUGCUUGCAUAUCUAAAAACGAGGUUGAGGAGAUGAUGCCUGAAACUAGAUGUGCGACUGAGCAGGGUAAGGAGAAGGAAACUGUACAGGACUUGGAAGAAAUUGGGCAGCUUGAACAAAACGAUGGUGACAAUGAAGAUGAAGAAGAAUGUGAUCAGAAUCAUGAGGAAGAAAAGUGUGCAGUGGAGAGUGAAGAUUUGGAUAAUGCAGACGUAAAGGUCCAAUCUGAGCUUUAUGGACAAGAUGUAGAACAAGAAAUGCAGAUAAGUGGGGUGGACCUAGCAGAGGAAGAAGGCAUUGGAGGUUUUAAACAUUCAGAUGAACAUCCUAUUGAUGAAAAGAAGAACAAUUUAGACCAGAAGGAUCAGGAGAAAACUGAGAAUGACGAAGAACAAGGACUUGAAUCACAAGUUCAAGAUUUGCAGAAGAGUGAAGAUCCAGAUACCGCAGACGUAAUGGUCCAUUGUGAGCAAGAUGUAAAACAGGAAAAGCAGAUAAACAUAGCGGACCAUGGAGAGACAGAAGGCAUUGCAGGUUUUAAAUAUGCAGAUGAACAUCUUAUUGAAGAAAAGGAGAACAGUUUAAACCAGAAGGAUCAGGAGAAAACUGAGAAUGAUGAAGAAAAAGGACUUGAAUCACAAGUUCAAGAUUUGCAGAAGAGUGAAGAUCCAGAUAACGCAGACAUAUUGGUCCAAUGUGAGCUUUAUGGACAAGAUGUAGAACAAGACAAACUGAUAAACAUGAUGGAUCAUGGAGAGACAGGAGGCUUUGGAGGUUUUAAACUUUCAGAUGAACAUCUUAUUGAUGAAAUAGUGGAACAAACUGUUGACCAGAAAGAUCGGGGCAGAACUGAGAAUGAUGAAGACCAAGGAACUGAAUCACAAGUGCAAGAUUUGCUGCCACAGCUGGAAUAUUUAAAAAAAUAUUCUGAUGAAAUUGCUUGCAUAUCUAAAAACGAGGUUGAGGAGAUGAUGCCUGAAACUAGAUGUGCGACUGAGCAGGGUAAGGAGAAGGAAACUGUACAGGACUUGGAAGAAAUUGGGCAGCUUGAACAAAACGAUGGUGACAAUGAAGAUGAAGAAGAAUGUGAUCAGAAUCAUGAGGAAGAAAAGUGUGCAGUGGAGAGUGAAGAUUUGGAUAAUGCAGACGUAAAGGUCCAAUCUGAGCUUUAUGGACAAGAUGUAGAACAAGAAAUGCAGAUAAGUGGGAUGGACCUAGCAGAGGAAGAAGGCAUUGGAGGUUUUAAACAUUCAGAUGAACAUCCUAUUGAUGAAAAGAAGAACAAUUUAGACCAGAAGGAUCAGGAGAAAACUGAGAAUGACGAAGAACAAGGACUUGAAUCACAAGUUCAAGAUUUGCAGAAGAGUGAAGAUCCAGAUACCGCAGACGUAAUGGUCCAUUGUGAGCAAGAUGUAAAACAGGAAAAGCAGAUAAACAUAGCGGACCAUGGAGAGACAGAAGGCAUUGCAGGUUUUAAAUAUGCAGAUGAACAUCUUAUUGAAGAAAAGGAGAACAGUUUAAACCAGAAGGAUCAGGAGAAAACUGAGAAUGAUGAAGAAAAAGGACUUGAAUCACAAGUUCAAGAUUUGCAGAAGAGUGAAGAUCCAGAUAACGCAGACAUAUUGGUCCAAUGUGAGCUUUAUGGACAAGAUGUAGAACAAGACAAACUGAUAAACAUGAUGGAUCAUGGAGAGACAGGAGGCUUUGGAGGUUUUAAACUUUCAGAUGAACAUCUUAUUGAUGAAAAGGAGAACAAUUUAGACCAGAAGGAUCAGGAGAAAACUGAGAAUGAUGAAGAACAAGGACUUGAAUCACAAGUUCAAGAUUUGCAAAAGAGUGAAGAUCCAAAUAACUCAGACAUAUUGGUCCAGUCUGAGCUUUAUGGACAAGAUGUAGAACAAGACAAACUGAUAAGCAUGAUGGAUCAUGCAGAGAAAGAAGGAACUGGCGGUUUUAAACAUUCAGAUGAACAUCUUAUUGAUGAAAUAGAGGAACAAAUUGUUGACCAGAAGGAUCGGGAGAGGGCUGAGAAUGAUGAAGACCAAGGACUUGAAUCACAAGUACAAGAUUUGCAGAAGAGUGAAGAUCCAGAUAAUGCAGACAUAAUGGUCCAAUGUGAGCAAGAUGUAGAACAGGAAAAGCAGAUAAACAUAGUGGAACAUGGAGAGACAGAAGGCAUUGGAGGAUUUAAACAUUCAGAUGGACAUUCUAUUGAUGAAAAGGAGAAACAAAAUGUUGACCCUAUGGAUCAGGAGAUGACUGAGAAUGAUGAAGAACAAGGAAUUGAAUCACAAGUGCAAGAUUUGCUACCACAGCGGGAAUAUUUUACAGAGGAAGCCGAUGACCUUGCAAAGCCUGAAAUGCUGAAUUUAAUGGAAAAAUAUUCUGAUGAAAUUGAUGAAUUCUCUAAAAAAGGGGUUGAGGAGGUGAUGCUUGAAACUGAGCAGGAUGAAGACACCACAGAAAUUGAACACGACACGACUAAAUAUGAGCUAAUGGAGUCAGAAGAAACCCUGCAGAAAGUUUCCGAAGAACUAUCUGAAAAAAAAGUACCAAAUGUUGAACUGAAAAUGACCACAGUAGUGGAUGAGUUUUUUGAAACCGUUUAUACAUUAGAAGACUCCCUGCUGUCGGAUUCAAAACAGGAUACUUCAGAAAAAACUCCUGAAACAGGAACUGGGUCAUCUAUGGUGGCCAUGAAAACUGAGGGCAUGGUUUCAGAUCUAAUUGUUUGUGAGUUCCCAGGAGAAUCGAGCAAAGGGCCAGAGACUGCAUUGGCGGAGACUGAUUUGGGAUGUUUUGAGGAGAUCAAAAGUAACCUACAUGAUCCCCAAACUCUUGCAGAAGAGAAAGCAGAAAGGGAAGCUGUGGUCGUAUGCUCUGUUGAGCACUCUGAGACCCUGAAAACAGUUGAGACUGAACAAGACAUUGAAACCUUAAUCGAAUCCUUGGGUACAACAGAAAGUCAUGCACAUCAGGAAAUGGACAAAACCAAGUUCUCACACAAAGAACAUGUUGAAUUAAGAACUGAACUGAGCGAAGAAACAACUGAUACAAAGAUCAGUUCAGAAGAUGAGGAAGCAGAACCCUCCGAGAAAGAAGGUCAAUCAUUAGUCAUCAGAAAUGUCACUUUACAGUCACAUGAGCUUCUUGAGUUCAAAGAAGGUGAAUGCAAAUCAUCUCUAGGAACAAUGGACACAUUCAGUGAAUCACUAGGAAAUUCAAGUGUGUCUGAAAUCGCUGAAAAUGCAGAGAUUGAACAUGUUGCAGAGGAGCAAACAGAUGUGAAACCUGUAUUAACAAGGUCUUUAAGUUCAGCCGGGUUUCUGGAGGAAACUGUACAUCUGCAGGAUGUAUCAGAGCGAUGCACCGAAGAGCAGGAGAUCCUGGAGACUGCUUUAGAGUAUGUAGAAGGAAUAACAAAUCAAGUCUUGAAGGAUAUGAUAGAAACAGAAGUUAACUUAGUACAAGAAACAGAACCUUUGGCAGGACCUUCAUCAGAAGAGCCUGGUGAUGCAGAAUAUCAGGGACCUGCACAAUGUGUGUCAGCUGAUGCCUUUGUCCUGGAAGAAGAAGGGAAGUUAUUGGGUGAGACAAUGGAAAGUAAGGUAGAAAUGGAGGUGGAAACCACAAGUAGUGAAGUUCUUAAACAAACUGAGCAACAUAUUAGUUCACCAGUGUGUGAAACGACUGAAGCUGAUGGAUGUCGUGAUAUUGCUGGAGCAACAGUGUUGAGUAGUCAUGAAGACUUAAUGGAAGUCAGCAGACCUGGGAUGAAAAGAGGAUUUGAUCAAGUGAACAAAGACCUUGCAGAGGUGAAGACGGAACGAAAAUUUGAUUUGUAUCUACAGGCAUUUGAGGAAUCAUCAUUGGACUUUACCAUUCAGAAGACUCGAAUUGCUGUGAAAAAUCCCCUAGUUCGGCCUCCUAAAGACCCCAGAAGGCUCCUCUUCAAGGCCUCAGUCGAACCUCUUGUCUCACAGCCUUCACCGCGUAGUCAGAAGGUUGAAGUCUCUGUUCCAAGUAAAGGGGUGACUGGAUUUAAACUUCCAGGACUGGGUGCAGAGCUGCCAGUACUGAGAAAAACUGAGUUUGGGAAGAAAACAAGAGAAGGAGGAGCAGCAGAGAGAACACUACAACCACAGCAAAAGUCAGUUGCAGUAACAGAGGAUUCUGUCAAACAAGAGCAAGCGCCAGUGCCAGUGCCAGCUAAACCCAAAUGGACACCGCCAAAGCAUCCUGGUAUGGGAAGUCCCUUCAUGAUGGCAGAACUCAAAAGCAAACUCAAAAAGCCUGUUCAGGAGUAA